UGCUGGGGCCGCUAAACCACUAUAACUGCCACACCAGUUUCACUUGCAUACAAGGAAAGGAAGCAGCUAGGCACAGUGGCUCCCACCUCUGGCUAGCACUUGAGAGGCUGAGGCAGGAGGAUUAGUCACUUGCUUGAUGCUUGCUUGGGCUAUGCAGUGAGUUCCAGACCAGACUGGGCUACAGAGUAAGGCCCUGUCUCACAAAAAAAGGAAGAAAAAAGAAAAAAGAAAGAAAGAAGAAGAAAAAAGAAAGAAAAGAGAGGAGAAAGCACCUUAAUGUCUGUCUUGUAAAAUCAAGGUAGAGGGAUGUCUGCUCAGUCCAUGGAGCAAAAAGAAGAAAAGUAUGGUCAGAAGAAUUGCCACAAAGUCCAAGAGAGGAGAAAACUUGCAGUCACAAAGACAAGUGAGAGCUGAAGAGAGAUGUGAGCCCUCAAACCUGAUACAACCCAGCCCAAGGAAGGUAGGAUUCAAGGAGAAACUAAGAGAUGCACAAGACGAGGCUCGGACCACAUGCAGUGUACUCAGUGAGUCACAGAGUGCUCUGAGGUUCCAUCCUUCCAAAUUUGAAAGCCCUUGGGAGCUCCCAUGAGUUCUCCAGCCAGACGAACUGAAAUGCUUCCAAACAGACUUCAGUUGUUCACUGAGGCCUCUUCUUCCUUCUUCACCAAGGACAUUAUCUGUCUGUAUAACAUGCACUGAUGCUACUUUAUCUACUAGAAAAUGCAACAUCACAUGCCAUGGCUAAAUGACUUUAUUACUGAACACUUCUAAGAAACACUGAGAUGAUCUCCCUAAUGUAAGAGCCCAGAGAAAGGGACCUGUCAGUCUGUGCUUCUGGGUCUGCCUUCCCAGCCCUCAGCCACGCAGGGCUAUGGAGACUCUCUCACAUUGUGUCACCCAGUCCCGCAUUCUGGAUGGCAUCUAACCGUUCCUUUGCAGCUAACACUCUCCAGGAAGGUUGUACAAACAUUGGAGUUUGGGAUGCAGCGAGUAUAAAGUGGAGUGCCUCCACCUGUCUGAGAAGGAGCUUGUCCACACACUUGAUUAUCAAGACAUCAGUCUCCCAGCAUAAGGGUGGCACUGGAUCCAACCCAGCUUGGAAACACAAUCUUAUGUUAACCUUGACUUUUCAUCUUGUUUCUCCUGGGAAAUAACAUCACCCCCAUGACAUUGACCUACUGCAAAGAAGACCACGUAGAAGAGGGCUUCAUCUUGUCUGACAAAUACCUCACAGGAGAUGCCUGCAGCGUCUGCUUUCUAUGUAAUACAUUCAUUUGUUUCAUUUGUCCCUGUUCAUCUCACAGCUGUUAAAAGUAGGGAACUCUGCAGUGUCAUUGGGAUUAAUCAGGUUUCCUGGCAGCUUCUUCGAAUGGGUUGUCCUUCCAUUCAAAGUCAUGAGGACAGAAGGUGGUGAUGUCACUGCCUGUGCCCACAUGGUCCACAUGUUAGAAGGGUUGGUAGCUAAAUGGGAUGCAUCUGUGUUGAUGAGUGUUUUUAUUGUUCUUUCUUUACUAAAGCAGGUGGCCACACAGUUAAUGGUAGUAUCCUAGCAGAACCUGAAUUCCUCAUGUCUACUCAUUUUGUGGCAAAUUGAAUGACACGGGAAAGGGGCUUUCUUUUUAACCUUGCUAGAACCACGCCACCAGCAAGACACUUGUGGAUCACCUGCACUCUGUGAGGCCCAUCACAUAAGGCCUUUCCCUGAGCUCAUCAGUUUUGGGUAGGCAGUAUAAAUAGAAGAUUCUAGGAUUGUCACCAGGGAGCAGUUCCUAGAGUCCCAGUGACAAGAGCAACGUAAUUCGAGGAAGAGAAUGAUGGCAAAGGUCUGCUCAGUCAUGUCUAGUCUCGUCUUUAGUAUACCAGGUUCUAACUGUAAGACUCUCAAGGGCUCAGGAGGGGUUUCCCAGGCAGGAUUUUAUUGAUCUUUGCAGAGCUAUUUUCACAGAGUAGGACACAUCACUUUCCUCUCCUACAGAGCAGGGAGCAAUCUCAGGACUUAGUGAGCAGCUCACAUUCUUAAGUUUGCAGUGAUACACACACCCCAGGUUUUACAAGCACUACUUCAUGGUUCCUUCUCCAGCACAGGUUCUUUCAUUCUCCAUUUAGUAGUGCUCUGCAACUUAAAGGCAGUCUUUUGAGAUUAUGGCCAUGAGCCAUCCUAUUCUUCGGUUAUUUGUAUUAUUGUAUUUUGAAUAGAUAACAUACACAUUUGACAGAACUGAGUGCUGGGAUGACAGGUACACACCACAGUGUCUUCUUGGGUGUCCUUUUGGAUAUGGUGUUUGUUGUCGCCUACUUGGUUCUGGAGAAGGGCACAGGCCUUCCUCUCCAGGAAUGGAGGAGGAGGACAAGGCUUUUCAGAGCAUGCCUCUUAUUUCCAGCACCUCUAGACUCUUUCAUGCAGGGGCGACAUGACCAGCAAUCUCAGGGAACUGUGAACAUUUUGUGUGUGUGUGUGUGUGUGUGUGUGUGUGUGUGUGUGUGUGUGUGUGUGUGCGCGCGCGCGCGCGCGCGCAACCUAAUCAUUAUUGUUUCCUUCCUCAGUCUCAAUAAAAAAUUGUACAAGGACUGUGACUAUAAGCCUUCUACUUCAUCCCUAAGGGGGAACAUGCCUUAAAAGUGGGUCUUCAUUUUCACUGUGGUCCAUCUAAAAGCUUCAGGGCAUCAGAGAGUGACUGAGAUGUAAACUGUAGGGAUUCGGAGCAUCCGUGUGGGAGAGAAGAUCUGGGACUGCCUCUGGGAGGGGUGACAGGGUCAGGCUAAGGUGGUGUGUGAGAUGCAAUUCUUUCUCACUUAAGUGACAUUGGAACUGUCCUAACUCCGCUUCUGUUUUGUAUGACAGAGUUUAAAGAACACAGCCCCUCCCUAGAGCUGAGCUACUCAUUUCGGACUCUUGGAAAAAAACACAGCAGCGGUUACAAGGAAAAAAGUGGAGGAGUUUGCUGAGAGGGUUAUCCUAUCAAAAGAGCUGGAAAAACUGACAGCAACUUCUAAAGUUCUGGGACACAGAUUGUCACCCCCCUGGGCUACUGGCCCCUGAUAACUCCUCUUGGAGAUAUCCCUGCAGCAUUGGGAAUAAACCACACAGGCUGAAACCUGUUACACAGACACUACACCAACCCAGUCGCACCUGCCUUGUGACUUGGAGUAUCCUUGAGACGAUGUCUUCAUCACAUUUGUGUCAGCCACACGGGAUGAAACCUGCUACACAGACAACACGCCGGCUAAGCCAUCACUAGUUGGUGAUGUGGAAGAUCUGUGUGGAGAUGUGGUCCCUUUGACAUCUGGCUCAGAUGCACAAGCUAAAGAGAAU